rnacentral:rRNA from 1 species
AGUGAACGCUGGCGGUAGGCCUAACACAUGCAAGUCGAACGGCAGCACAGUAAGAUCUUGCUCUUACGGGUGGCGAGUGGCGGACGGGUGAGGAAUACAUCGGAAUCUACUUUUUCGUGGGGGACAACGUAGGGAAACUUACGCUAAUACCGCAUACGACCUACGGGGGAAAGCAGGGGAUCUUCGGACCUUGCGCGAUUGAAUGAGCCGAUGUCGGAUUAGCUAGUUGGCGGGGUAAAGGCACACCAAGGCGACGAUCCGUAGCUGGUCUGAGAGGAUGAUCAGCCACACUGGAACUGAGACACGGUCCAGACUCCUACGGGAGGCAGCAGUGGGGAAUAUUGGACAAUGGGCGCAAGCCUGAUCCAGCCAUCCCGCGUGUGUGAUGAAGGCCUUCGGGUUGUAAAGCCCUUUUGUUGGGAAAGAAAAGCAGCAGGUUAAUACCCCGCUGUUCUGACGGUACCUAAAGAAUAAGCACCGGCUAACUACGUG